GGCUCAGAACGAACGCUGGCGGCGCGCCUAAUACAUGCAAGUCGAGCGAGAAGGUGUAGCAAUACACUUGUAAAGCGGCGAACGGGUGAGGAAUGCAUGGGUAACCUACCCUCGAGUGGGGAAUAACUAGCCGAAAGGUUAGCUAAUACCGCAUACGUUUCCGGGACUUCGGUUCCGGAAAGAAAGCAGUACCGUGGGUACUGCGCUCAUGGAUGGGCUCAUGUCCUAUCAGCUUGUUGGUGAGGUAACGGCUCACCAAGGCUUCGACGGGUAGCUGGUCUGAGAGGACGAUCAGCCACACUGGCACUGCGACACGGGCCAGACUCCUACGGGAGGCAGCAGUAAGGAAUAUUGCGCAAUGGACGAAAGUCUGACGCAGCGACGCCGCGUGGGGGAUGAAGGUCUUCGGAUUGUAAACCCCUUUCGGGAGGGAAGAUGGAGCGAGCAAUCGUUCGGACGGUACCUCCAGAAGCAGCCACGGCCAACUUCGUGCCAGCAGCCGCGGUAAUACGAAGGUGGCAAGCGUUGUUCGGAUUCACUGGGCGUACAGGGUGUGUAGGCGGUUUGGUAAGCCUUCUGUUAAAGCUUCGGGCCCAACCCGGAAAGCGCAGAGGGUACUGCCAGGCUAGAGGGUGGGAGAGGAGCGCGGAAUUCCCGGUGUAGCGGUGAAAUGCGUAGAGA
rnacentral:rRNA from 1 species